CAAGUCGAGUGCUGCGGGUCUU
rnacentral:miRNA from 10 species